UCAAAUUAACGGUAUUUUAAGCAAUUUUUCAUAUAUGUAUGAUUAAACUAGUUGUUUUAUGUUAUUUUAAUAUUUUCAAAAUAUUUUUGAGCAUUUACACUAGAUAAUUAUGAAAACAAAUUUUAUUAAGUAAAUGACCAUGCAAUUGUACAUAAUUUUUUAAUUCCACUAUAUCUCUGUAGAUAAACAUGUGUGUAGGACUGACAUUACUAACCUCUCUUUUAUUUUCCUCUUUCUCUCUCAUUUCUUUCUCUCUCGAAUCCACAAUGCAAUAAAAAUCAAGAACAAAGAAAAACUUGUGUAGUUAAAGAGAAUCUAUUUUUCAUAGACUCGAAAAAGCCUUAAGAGCAAAUCGAAAUCACAAGCUUUAUGAAACCACAUCUUCUCCCUUCCUUUUUUCUUUGAUUUUAUCUUUAUUUUGGAUGUUUGAUUUGUUCUGGUAUUGCAUUUGCUGAGAAAGAUAUGAGUUUUGGUGUUUUUUUGUGUUGUUGUUUUACCUUGUAUUCUUAUUUCUUCUUUGUUUGGUUGAUGUGAGAAAUGGUGGAACUUGUGAUGAAUCUGAAAGUUUGAGUUUUUUUUUUGUUCAAUACCAUAGCCCCAUGGUCGCUCUUUUUGUGAAGAUUUAUCUCUAAUCUUCAUCUGGUAUAAUGGUUUUUCGGAAAAUUAACCAGAUUAGUUUCAAUUUUUGGUCUUGUGUUCUGGUUUGUUAAUGUUUCUUACAUCUGUUAUUUGACAUCCAACAAUUUUUUGUUGUUAAUUUUUUUGGAUUUUGGUUUCUUGAUGAUUAUGCAUCUUCAUUUGUUUGUUCAUCUUUUUGGUUUCGUUUCAUAUGUAAUUCUUGUAUUUUUUGGGGCGCAUUACAUUGUUGUUAAGAAAAACAUUGAACAAGAUGAUGUGUUUUGUAUAUAUUGGUCUAACUUCUUAUUGAUUCAUGUACAUUGCUUAAUCAUAUUUUACUUUUCAGAUAUCAGAGAUUUAAUGGAACUAAAGAACACUCAGUUCUCGCUUGGUUGACUAGAGAAGGAAAUUGGCGAUCAAAUCAUUGGAUUGCUGUACCAAGAGGAAAAUUUGAGAUAGUUUUUUUUUUCUCAGAUGGUUUUUGAUUUUUUUGAUGAAAAUAUAUGAACAUUAGUAUUGGGGUUCAAAGUUAGUUAACCAGAUAAGUCAUAGUGGUCAUUCCAUGUGAAACUCUCAGAUAAAAUGUUUAUGUUUCAAUUGCAAUUAUAUGGAUUAACUUUGUAAUAUCCGGUUAAAAUCGCAUGUACAUAUUAUUUGAAUUUUUAUAUCAAUUUAGUUCUAAUAUACACUGAUAUUACAUAUACAUAAGCCAUAACCAUCAAAAUAUGGAUUAUCUUUCUAUUAUUGUGUUCUAUAUGCAUUCAUGCUAUAGAUAUAUACACCAUCUUUUGGAUACUCUUUUCAUAAUCCGGUUUAAUUUACCAAUAACCAGAUACAAGAACAAAUCCCUUUCUUAUUAAAAGAGAAACACUCUUAGAAAUAAACCUUUAACCCAUGUGUGAUUUACAAGAGUGCCAUUUCCUAUGUGGCAUUCUCUCAUGCACUC
rnacentral:lncRNA from 1 species